rnacentral:tRNA from 2 species
GGGCCCGUAGCUCAGGUGGCAGAGCGCACCCCUGAUAAGGGUGAGGUCUCAGGUUCAAGUCCUGACGGGCCCACCA